UGCGAGUGAAGCGGGAAAGCUCAAUUUAAAAUCUGGCGGUCUCCGGCCGUCCGAGUAGUAUUUAGAGAAGCGUUAUCCGUGCUGGACCGUGUAUAAGUCUCCUGGAAUGGAGCGUCAUAGAGGGUGAGAAUCCCGUCUUUGACACGGACUACCAGUGCAUUGUGAUGCGCUCUCGACGAGUCGAGUUGUUUGGGAAUGCAGCUCAAAAUGGGUGGUAAAUGCCAUCUAAAGCUAAAUAUUGGCGAGAGACCGAUAGCGAACAAGUACCGUGAGGGAAAGAUGAAAAGAACUUUGGAAAGAGAGUUAAACAGUACGUGAAAUUGUCGAAAGGGAAACGGUUGCAGUCAGUCGCGUCCGCCGGGGAUCAACCUUGCUUUUGCUUGGCGUAUUUCCCGGUGGAUGGGUCAGCAUCAGUUUUGACCGCAGUUGAAAGGCUGGAGGAAUGUGGCACCUUCGGGUGUGUUAUAGCCUCCUGUCAUAUGCUGCGGUUGGGACUGAGGAACUCAGCACGCCGCAAGGCCGGGAUUCGUCCACGUUCGUGCUUAGGAUGCUGGCAUAAUGUCUGUAACCGACCCG
rnacentral:rRNA from 1 species